GACUUACAGAAAGAACUUUAGCUCAGUGGUAGAGCAUCUGUUCUGCAUGCAGAAGGUCCCAGGUACAACCCCCUAGCAUUUCUGGGUAGGUCU